rnacentral:rRNA from 1 species
AUUGAACGCUGGCGGCAGGCCUAACACAUGCAAGUCGAGCGGAGCGGCGGACGGGAGAGUAAUGCCUAGGAAUCUGCCAGGUAGUGGGGGAUAAGGUCCGGAAACGGGCGCUAAUACUGCAAACUAUCACAUGAGCCUGGGUCGGAUUAGCUAGUUGGUGGGGUAAGGGCAUACCAAGGCGACGAUCCGUAUCUGGUCUGAGAGGAUGAUCAGUCACACUGGAACUGAGACACGGUCCAGACUCCUACGGGAGGCAGCAGUGGGGAAUAUUGGACAAUGGGCGAAAGCCUGAUGCAGCCAUGCCGCGUGUGUGAAGAAGGUCUUCGGAUUGUAAAGUACUUUAAGUUGGGAGGCGUUACUCACAGAAUAAGCACCGGCUAACUUCGUGCCAGCCGCCGCGGUAAUUC